rnacentral:rRNA from 1 species
AUUGAACGCUGGCGGCAGGCUUAACACAUGCAAGUCGAGCGGGGUGAUGGUGCUUGCACUAUCACUUAGCGGCGGACGGGUGAGUAAUGCUUAGGAAUCUGCCUAUUAGUGGGGGACAACAUCUCGAAAGGGAUGCUAAUACCGCAUACGUCCUACGAGAGAAAGCAGGGGAUCACUUGUGACCUUGCGCUAAUAGAUGAGCCUAAGUGGGAUUAGCUAGUUGGUGGGGUAACGGCCUACCAAGGCGACGAUCUGUAGCGGGUCUGAGAGGAUGGUCCGCCACACUGGGACUGAGACACGGCCCAGACUCCUACGGGAGGCAGCAGUGGGGAAUAUUGGACAAUGGGGGGAACCCUGAUCCAGCCAUGCCGCGUGUGUGAAGAAGGCCUUAUGGUUGUAAAGCACUUUAAGCGAGGAGGAGGCUCUUUUGGUUAAUACCCAAGAUGAGUGGACGUUACUCGCAGAAUAAGCACCGGCUAACUCUGUGCCAGCCGCCGCCGUAA